CCGCCGGCGACCGGCGCACGGGUGAGUAACACGUAUGCAACCUGCCCCUGUCAGGGGGACAACCUGCCGAAAGGCGGGCUAAACCCGCGUACAUGCCACCGGGGCAUCCCGGAGGCAGGAAAGGCUUCGGCCGGACAGGGAUGGGCAUGCGGCGCAUUAGGCAGUAGGCGGGGUAACGGCCCACCUAACCGACGAUGCGUAGGGGUUCUGAGAGGAAGGUCCCCCACACUGGUACUGAGACACGGACCAGACUCCUACGGAAGGCAGCAG
rnacentral:rRNA from 1 species